AUGGCUGUUGGCAAAUUGUCAGUGGUGUGGGUCAGAGCUAAAGGAGUGCCUAAAACCAUGAAAAAUUAUCAUGGAUUGUGUGAGGUUGGUUCCAUGAUUGGGUAUACACAAGCUGUUGACAUGGAUUUCCUGAAUAUGAGUGGUCUAGUCAGGCUGAAGAUUGUUGUGGUUGAUCACACAAAAAUUCCCAGAUGGACUAAACUGACAACUCCUAACCUCAUGGUUUACAUAAUUUUCUUUGAAGUCGAGGAGGUGGUAGAUGAGGGGUGGGCUAGAGAUGAAGAUGAGCUUUCCCAGGGAUAUGAAGAAUGGAUGGAUCUCCAACAUGAAGAGGGUGAAAGCAGGGAUGCAAAGAAAGCAAAGACUAGGGAAAAGAGACUCUGA
rnacentral:rRNA from 1 species